UAGCUCAGUCGGUAGAGCAUCAGACUUUUA
rnacentral:piRNA from 4 species